rnacentral:rRNA from 1 species
CCCUUCAUAAAUAUCAACCUAUAUCUUUAACAACAUUCGUCUGAUAACAUAUUAUGAAUAUACUUAAUUCAAAAUAUAACUUUCAACAACGGAUCUCUUGGCUCUCGCAUCGAUGAAGAACGCAGCGAAAUGCGAUACGUAAUGUGAAUYGCAGAAUUCAGUGAAUCAUCGAAUCUUUGAACGCAUAUUGCGCUCUUUGGUAUUCCGAAGAGCAUGCUUGUUUGAGUAUCAGUAAACACCUCAACCUCUCUUUUUUGAUAAAAAAAAGGGAGGGUGGACUUGAGCUAUCCCAACGACCUUCACCGGUAGGCGGGCGGCUUGAAAUGCAGGUGCAGCUGGACUUUUAUCUGAGCUAAAAGCAUAUCUAUUUAGUCCUCGUCAAACAGGAUUAUUACUUUUGCUGCAGCUAACAUAAAGGAUAAUUGUCCUAUUUGCUGACUGAUGCAGGAUUUUACGACACUUUAUGUGUUGUUCAACUCGAUCUCAAAUCAAGUAAGACUACCCGCUGAACUUAAGCAUAUCA